CCUACGGGUGGCAGCAGUGAGGAAUAUUGGUCAAUGGGCGCGAGCCUGAACCAGCCAAGCCGCGUGAAGGAUGACUGCCCUACGGGUUGUAAACUUCUUUUAUAAAGGAAUAAAGUGAGUCACGUGUGCCUUUUUGACUGUACUUUAUGAAUAAGGAUCGGCUAACUCCGUGCCAGCAGCCGCGGUAAUACGGAGGAUGCGGGCGUUAUCCGGAUUUAUUGGGUUUAACGGGAGCGUAGGUGGGUUGUUAAGUCAGUUGUGAAAGUUUGGGGCUCAACCGGACAAUUGCAAUUGAUACUGGCCAACUUGAGUACAGUUGAGGUAGGCGGAAUUCGAGGUGUAGCGGUGAAAUGCUUAGAUAUCACGAAGAACUCCGAUUGCGAAGGCAGCUUACUAAACUACCACUGACGUUGAGGAGCGAAAGUGUGGGUAUCAAACAGGAUUAGAUACCCGUGUAGUC
rnacentral:rRNA from 1 species